UACAGCGGUCUCAAGCGUUGUUCGGAUUCCUUGGGCGUAAAGGGUGCGUAGGCGGCGCGGUAAGUCGGGUGUGAAAUCUUGGAGCUUAACUCCGAAACUGCAUUCGAUACUGCCGUGCUUGAGGACUGGAGAGGAGACUGGAAUUUACGGUGUAGCGGUGAAAUGCGUAGAUAUCGUAAGGAAGACCAGUGGCGAAGGCGGGGCUCUGGACAGUUCCUGACGCUGAGGCACGAAGGUCAGGGGAGCAAACGGG
rnacentral:rRNA from 1 species